AUGCAGCUACACAUGCAGUUCGAGCGGCAGCCGGAGGAGAAGCUUGCUUUCCUUUGCCGGCGAAGCGGCGGACGGGUGAGUAAGGUAUGGGGAUCUGGCCGAAGGCGGGGGAUAACCACUGGAAACGGUGGCUAAUACCGCAUAAUCUCUAAGGAGCAAAGUGGGGGACCGUUCAGGCCUCACACCUUCGGAUGAACCCAUAUGAGAUUAGCUAGUAGGUGGGGUAAUGGCUCACCGCUAGGCGACGAUCUCUAGCUGGUCUGAGAGGAUGAUCAGCCACACUGGGACUCGACACACGGCCCACACUCCUACGGGAGGCAGCAGUGGGGAAUAUUGCACAAUGGGCGCAAGCCUGAUGCCAGCCAUGGCCGCGUGUAUUGAAGAAGGCCUUCGGGUUGUAAAGUACUUUCCAGUGGUGAGGAAGGUGUUAAGGUUAAUAACCUUAGCAAUUGACGUUAGCGACAGAAGAAGCCACCGGCUAACUCCGUGCCAGCAGCCGCGGUAAUACGGGAGGGGUGCGAGGCGUUAAUCGGAAUUACUGGGCGUAAAGGGCACGCAGGCGGUUUAAUUUAAGUUGGAUGGUGAAAUCCCCGGGCUUAACCUGGGAACUGGCAUCUCGAAGACUGGUUAUCUAGAGUCUUGUAGAGGAGGGGUAGAAUUCCAUGUGUAGCGGUGAAAUGCGUAGAGAUGUGGAGGAAUACCUGUGGCGAACGCGGCCCCUCUGGACAAACACUGACGCUCAUGUGCGAAAGCGUGGGGAGCAAACGAGGAUUAUAUACCCUGGUAGUCCACGCUGUAAACGAUGUCCAUUUGCGAUGUUGUGGUCAUGAACUGUCGCCUCAGGAGCUAACGCAUUAAAUCCACCGCCUGAGGGACUACGGCAGGAAGGUUACAAACUCAAAUGAAUUGACGGGGGCCCGCACAAGCGGUGGAGCAUGUGGUUUAAUUCGAUGCAACGCGAAGAACCUUACCUACUCUUGACAUCCAGCGAAUCCUUUAGAAAUAGAGGAGUGCCUUCGGGAGCUCUGAGACAGGUGCUGCAUGGCUGUCGUCAGCUCGUGUUGUGAAAUGUUGGGUUAAGUCCCGCAACGAGCGCAACCCUUAUCCUUUGUUGCCAGCGAUUCGGUCGGGAACUCAAAGGAGACUGCCGGUGAUAAACCGGAGGAAGGUGGGGAUGACGUCAAGUCAUCAUGGCCCUUACGAGUAGGGCUACACACGUGCUACAAUGGCGUAUACAGAGAGAGGCGAGCCAGCGAUGGGAAGCGGAACUCAGAAAGUACGUCGAAGUCCGGAUUGGAGUCUGCAACUCGACUCCAUGAAGUCGGAAUCGCUAGUAAUCGCGGAUCAGCAUGUUGCGGUGAAUACGUUCCCGGGCCUUGUACACACCGCCCGUCACACCAUGGGAGUGGGUUGCAAAAGUAAAGUAGGUAGCUUAACCUUCGUGGAUGGCGCUUACCACUUGGAUCUGCUGA
rnacentral:rRNA from 1 species